rnacentral:lncRNA from 1 species
ACAGGCAGAGUCUGAUGACAAGUUCUUGGUCUGGUUUUCCUGGCCUCAAGAGAGCUUUAAAGUUCAAUCUGAGAUUCCUUGUAAAAAAUUCUGGCAAAGAAUAUUUAAAAGAGAUCAAUUCCUAUUCUUGCUGUACUUAUGUAAAUAAUUGGGCCAAGUUUAUUGAAACAAAACAUUUGUAAACCAAUGGGUCUUAAUUUGGCUAUUUUUGAUAAGAACAGCAUGAUUUUAGAGAGAAAAAUUAUGUUUAAAUAAAAACUAUGUACACAUUCAUUGAUAUUAGGUUCUAGUUCUGAUAAUUGUCUUUGAGGUUUUUGUUUUAUACCUGUUAACUAGACUGGAUCCUGAAUUCUUCUAGCCUCCUGAAAUAUCUAGCUACACAUCUCCAAACUAAUGUUUUCCAUUUUUCCCCAUCAUUUUCAUUUGGAAUCAUUGAAAGCUGAACCUGCCCUUUUUCCUGAAGCCCUGAAAACUGAAGUUUUGUUACAGGGAAACUGACAUCCAGAGAAUAUCAAGAAGCUGAAGUUUCCCAGAACCCAACUCCUCAGCUUCCUGGCACCAAAAUCCACAAUCCACCACAGAGGCAGACAACUAAGGACAUCCAUCUGCAGAUAUCCUUAUCUCAUUGUUCUCCUUCCUGCAAGUAGCCUCACAAGGCCAAAUGCAGGCUGGUGGAAAGACGCCAACCAACAAGCCCACAGGCUCUCCCCAUCCCUACAAGCAGCCUCAUUCCUUGCAACCUGUAAACCCCCUGGCUUCCCAUCUUUCAGGGAGACAAAAUGAAUUUGAGGGCUCACCCUUGUCUCCCUGCUGAUGUCACCCAAAAUAAAGACCCUUUCCUUGCCAUAAGCCUGGUGUUACAGUUUUUAUUUGGUCCCUCUAGUGUGGCAGGUAAAGAACCUACAUUUGUAGCCUGUAUCAGUAUUAUGUUUAGCACACAAAUAACCCAAC